rnacentral:rRNA from 1 species
UCGAGCGAGAAAAGGGGGCAACUCCCUGAGUACAGCGGCGCACGGGUGAGCUAACACCGUAGGUAACCUGCCCUCGAGCCGGAAUAACCUACCGAAAGGUGGGCUAAUACCGGAUAUGACCACGGGAGUAACGGCUCCUGAGGUGAAAGAUGGCCAAUGCUUGCAAGCUAGUACUUGAGGAUGGGCCUGCGCGCCAUUAGCUAGUUGGUGGGGUAAUGGCCCACCAAGGCGAUGAUGGCUAGCUGGUCUGAGAGGAUGACCAGCCACACUGGGACUGGAACACGGCCCAGACUCCUACGGGAGGCAGCAGUGGGGGAUAUUGCGCAAUGGGCGAAAGCCUGACGCAGCGACGCCGCGUGGGUGAUGAAGGCCUUCGGGUCGUAAAGCCCUGUCGAGGGGGACGAAUCGGCUGCGACCCAAUACGUCGUGGUCCUGACGGUACCCCUAAAGGAAGCACCGGCUAACUCCGUGCCAGCAGCCGCGGUAA